AGGGGCGAUCGGGCGACCAUUAAGUUCGAACCCUGCUGUACCAAUUCCUAAUUACCAAAAACUGGAAUUGAAAAAUAAUGAAAAUCAGAAAAGACUUUAAUUAUUUAUAGGAUACUUCUGAUACAUUUUGAUCAUGUCACGUUCAGUGGAGGUCUAAAGGUUAGGUGGUUAUUUGUAUGUUUUGUUAUUUCAAAAGGAAGCAUCACAUUCAGUGGAUGUCUAAAAGGUUAGGUGGUUAUUUGUAUGUUUUGUUAUUGCAGAAGAAGGAAGAUCCAGACAAAGAUGUGAUGGUGAUUCCAGUAAUGUGGCAAUGCACAUCCACCUACAAAAGAUACUUUGAAAUAAUUCUUUUCACCAUUCAAGGCAUUCUUUUGGUGUUUGGUGUCUUCUUGGUUUUUACCACCAGAAAGGUGAGCAUUCCUGCACUAAAUGAUUCCAAAUCCAUUGGAAUGUGUAUCUACAAUGUGAUUGUACUAGCUAUAGCGGGGGUACCAGUCUCUCUACUAAUGGACAGCGAUGUUGACACCUUCUACGGCAUCAUCUGCACCCUCAUCAUAUUAGGAACUACAUCUACUCAGUGUUAUAUAUUUGUUCCAAAAGUAAUUCGAUUAAAGAAGUACUUGGCAGGAGAUAAAAGCAUGUGCAGUGUUAGAUCUUCAGGAUUGUAUUCUAUUCAGGACAGCUCGGUUCCUUCCAUUUCCGAUGAUCAAAAUUGAGGUUGUGGUGUUAGCGUAAACAACAUUUUGUGACAAACCAACAUUGAUACAGUCCUCUUAGUAUGCAUGCAUGCACAUCAAAAGAGCAUGUCUGGGACAUCUCCAUCACGGUCUACUGUGACUGAAGGAAUUAAAUUUGGAUUUGAAAGGACAUUCCACAAGAGUUCCUGUGGCAAUUAUUUGUAUUAGCAAGACAUCAUUGCAUUACAUGCACCGAAGUUGGGAGUGGAUGUAAAAUAUACUGAAAUCUGGAAUUGGCUUUUGAACUCCACAGUUGUUUGAAGUAAACUUGUGAAUCAUGUCAAAGCAGUAUAAUUUUUGGACUCAAAUGUCAAAUUAAGCAGUAUACAUUGUAACUGUGGACAUUUAUGUCAAAAAAGUAUAUACUUGUGGACUCUCAAAAUGUGUCUAACAUGUAAAUCAUUUUCUGAAAACUAUCAGUAUGUAUAAUAUUAUCUUGCACAGGAAUCUUUUAUUUUGAAACUAUUUAGAUAGAGAUGUAUUUCUAAUAGACAUUAUAUAUGAAUCUGAAUUAUUAAAAUGUUGUUGUUACUUAUACAUGUAUGCCAUACUCUAAACCACUCCCAGUAAUAAUUUUGGCCCCACAAGCCGAUAUUACCAAUUAGCCUGUCUUUAACUUUUGUCAAGAGAUCUAGAAAUUUAUGUAAGAUCUCAUGCAUUAAUGAAACUUCUGAACAUAGCACUUUAAAUAUAUACUUUUACUCUUAAUUUUAAAGACUUGUUUACUUGUAAACUAUGUUGUAUUCGUUCUUAUCUUUCUUUGACAGACACCCUAGAGCCGAUAUGUACUUUUGUGCUGUGGUGUUGUUAAACAUUCAUUCAUUAUGAUUGAAUACAUAGUGUACAUAUCAUUACCAUGUCUCAGAUACGGAUAUGCAUGUAGUUACAUUCUAGUAGGUCACGGGCUAAAUAGUGUCCUCACCCACGCACGAACUGGCGUGCACACACGCACGCACGCACGCACGCACGCACACACACCAUGGAUCCCAAUAUGUCCUGAAAAUGAAACUAACUUCAAACAGCAAGUGAAACUAGUAUUUCAUAUUACAAGAGUAAAAUUAAUUAAACUCAUUUUAACUGUUCAAGACAUUUUCUCUUAAUUGUUUACUUUUAAUGCCAGUAUGCUGAUAAUUGGUGUCAAAUGAAAGCUAUGAUAGCAUAGAAUAUGAACGACUAGCACACAGAUGACAAACAUUUGAUGUGUUUUGUAAAUAAAAAAAUAUUAUAGAUAUUGGGAUAUUUUAUGGUAAGUGGUAUGGUAAAGUGGGGUACAUAUAUGUCACUUAAUGUGACAAUCAUAUAUUUUUAGUGGAUAUCGUACAUUAAAGCAUGUCAAGCAAACCAGUAUAUAAUAAACUUUUAUUUAAUAUAUAAUACUGUAUUAUUCAUGGCACUGACGCAUGUGUUGGUAUUUUGGUACAAAAAAAGAUAGAGGGUAUACUGAUUAUGACCUAAUGUCAAUGAAAAAUAAAAGACGUUUUCUAGGGUACCCUCAACCACUGGUGAUAAAUAAGUAAUGAAUCCCAAUUUUUUUCAGUUACCGCGGUUAGUUUCUUAUGUUCAAGAUGUACUAAGCUUAGAGGCUUAUAAGCAAAACUGACAUAGGCAGUACAUAGUACUAGAAUUAGGAGUGGAUUGAGGAUGCUAUGUAUAUAGCCCAUGGCCUAUUGGUUUGUAUCACACAAAAUUUACACUAAAUUUACACCGGAAUAAAAAAAAUGCAUGAAAACGUCAAGGUUUUAAAAAAUUAUUAUUGACAAAAUCUCAAGCUUCAUCUUUAUGUGUUAUAAGAUUCCAGUGGUAUUAUAUUAUAAUUUUGUGCUUAGUAAAAUAGUCAUAGAUGUACUAAUGGUCAAUGUGAUGACUGAAUAUAACAAUCCAUAGUAGACUGUCAGUCUUUCUGCUAGAAAUAAUAUUUUGGGUAUGGCGCUAUGGAAUUGAAUCCAAGCACAGUCAACAGGAGGAGGGG
rnacentral:lncRNA from 1 species